rnacentral:rRNA from 1 species
AUGAACGCUGGCGGCGUGCUUAACACAUGCAAGUCGAACGGGACUGUGGGGGCAACUCCGCAGUUUAGUGGCGGACGGGUGAGUAACACGUGGGUAACCUGCCCGGAAGUGGGGAAUACCUCGGGGAAACUCGAGCUAAUACCGCAUGACAUCUUCGGGACGAAAGUCCUGACGAUCAAAGCGGGGUCGCAAGAUCUCGCGCUACCGGAUGGGCCCGCGCCCGAUUAGCUAGUUGGUGGGGUAACGGCUCACCAAGGCUUCGAUCGGUAACCGGCCUGAGAGGGCGAUCGGUCACACCGGAACUGAGACACGGUCCGGACUCCUACGGGAGGCGGCAGUGGGGAAUUUUUCGCAAUGGGGGAGACCCUGACGAAGCAACGCCGCGUGGAGGAUGAAGGCCUUCGGGUCGUAAACUCCUGUCGACCGGGAAGAAUGCACCUGACCUAACACGUCGGCGUGUUGACUGUACCGGUGGAGGAAGCCACGGCUAACUCUGUGCCAGCAGCCGCGGUAAUACAGAGGUGGCAAGCGUUGUUCGGAAUUACUGGGCGUAAAGGGCGCGUAGGCGGCCCGUCAAGUCCCGUGUGAAAGCCCCCGGCUCAGCCGGGGAACGGCGCGGGAAACUAGCAGGCUUGUGUUCGGGAGAGGGAAGCGGAAUUCCGGGUGUAGCGGUGAAAUGCGCAGAUAUCCGGAGGAACACCGGUGGCGAAGGCGGCUUCCUGGACCGACACUGACGCUGAGGCGCGAAAGCUAGGGGAGCAAACGGGAUUAGAUACCCCGGUAGUCCUAGCCCUAAACGAUGAGAACUGGGUGUAGGGGGUAUGAACCCCCCCUGUGCCGAAGCUAACGCAUUAAGUUCUCCGCCUGGGGAGUACGGUCCGCAAGGCUGAAACUCAAAGGAAUUGACGGGGGCCCGCACAGGCGGCUGGAGCAUGCGGAUUCAAUUCGAUGCAACGCGAAGAACCUUACCAGGGCUUUGACAUGUCCGGGACCGGCUGCAGAGAGCAGUCUUCCCUUCGGGACCGUAUCAGCAGGUGGUGCAUGGUUGUCGUCAGCUCGUGUCGUGAGAUGUUGGGUUAAGUCCCGCAACGAGCGCAACCCUGCCUUCCAUGUUGCUCACCGAUAAAUGCUGAGCACUCAUGGAGGAACUGCCGGGGAUCAAGCUCGGAGGAAGGUGGGGACGACGUCAAGUCAUCAUGGCCCUUAUGCCCUGGGCUUACACACGCAUGCUACAAUGGUCCGGUACAAAGGGUUGCAAGACUGUGAGGUGGAGCUAAUCCCAAAAAGCCGAUCCCAGUUCGGAUUGGGUCUGCAACUCGACUGCCAUGAAGUCGGAGUCGCUAGUAAUCGCAGGAUCAGCACGCUGCGGUGAAUACGUUCCCGGGCCUUGUACACACCGCCCGUCACAUCACGAAAGGGCUGUACUACCGAAGUCCGCUGGCCUAACCCCUUGUGGGAGGGAGCUGUCGAAGGUGGGACUGGCGAUUGGGACU